AGGGGAGUGAAAUAGAACCUGAAACCGUGUGCUUACAAGUAGUCAGAGCCCGUUAAUGGGUGAUGGCGUGCCUUUUGUAGAAUGAACCGGCGAGUUACGAUUUGAUGCAAGGUUAAGCAGUAAAUGUGGAGCCGUAGCGAAAGCGAGUCUGAAUAGGGCGUUUAGUAUUUGGUCGUAGACCCGAAACCAGGUGAUCUACCCUUGGUCAGGUUGAAGUUCAGGUAACACUGAAUGGAGGACCGAACCGACUUACGUUGAAAAGUGAGCGGAUGAACUGAGGGUAGCGGAGAAAUUCCAAUCGAACCUGGAGAUAGCUGGUUCUCUCCGAAAUAGCUUUAGGGCUAGCCUCAAGUGAUGAUUAUUGGAGGUAGAGCACUGUUUGGACGAGGGGCCCCUCUCGGGUUACCGAAUUCAGACAAACUCCGAAUGCCAAUUAAUUUAACUUGGGAGUCAGAACAUGGGUGAUAAGGUCCGUGUUCGAAAGGGAAACAGCCCAGACCACCAGCUAAGGUCCCAAAAUAUAUGUUAAGUGGAAAAGGAUGUGGCGUUGCCCAGACAACUAGGAUGUUGGCUUAGAAGCAGCCAUCAUUUAAAGAGUGCGUAAUAGCUCACUAGUCGAGUGACACUGCGCCGAAAAUGUACCGGGGCUAAACAUAUUACCGAAGCUGUGGAUUGUCCUUUGGACAAUGGUAGGAGAGCGUUCUAAGGGCGUUGAAGCAUGAUCGUAAGGACAUGUGGAGCGCUUAGAAGUGAGAAUGCCGGUGUGAGUAGCGAAAGACGGGUGAGAAUCCCGUCCACCGAUUGACUAAGGUUUCCAGAGGAAGGCUCGUCCGCUCUGGGUUAGUCGGGUCCUAAGCUGAGGCCGACAGGCGUAGGCGAUGGAUAACAGGUUGAUAUUCCUGUACCACCUAUAAUCGUUUUAAUCGAUGGGGGGACGCAGUAGGAUAGGCGAAGCGUGCGAUUGGAUUGCACGUCUAAGCAGUAAGGCUGAGUAUUAGGCAAAUCCGGUACUCGUUAAGGCUGAGCUGUGAUGGGGAGAAGACAUUGUGUCUUCGAGUCGUUGAUUUCACACUGCCGAGAAAAGCCUCUAGAUAGAAAAUAGGUGCCCGUACCGCAAACCGACACAGGUAGUCAAGAUGAGAAUUCUAAGGUGAGCGAGCGAACUCUCGUUAAGGAACUCGGCAAAAUGACCCCGUAACUUCGGGAGAAGGGGUGCUCUUUAGGGUUAACGCCCAGAAGAGCCGCAGUGAAUAGGCCCAAGCGACUGUUUAUCAAAAACACAGGUCUCUGCUAAACCGUAAGGUGAUGUAUAGGGGCUGACGCCUGCCCGGUGCUGGAAGGUUAAGAGGAGUGGUUAGCUUCUGCGAAGCUACGAAUCGAAGCCCCAGUAAACGGCGGCCGUAACUAUAACGGUCCUAAGGUAGCGAAAUUCCUUGUCGGGUAAGUUCCGACCCGCACGAAAGGCGUAACGAUUUGGGCACUGUCUCAACGAGAGACUCGGUGAAAUCAUAGUACCUGUGAAGAUGCAGGUUACCCGCGACAGGACGGAAAGACCCCGUGGAGCUUUACUGUAGCCUGAUAUUGAAAUUCGGCACAGCUUGUACAGGAUAGGUAGGAGCCUUUGAAACGUGAGCGCUAGCUUACGUGGAGGCGCUGGUGGGAUACUACCCUAGCUGUGUUGGCUUUCUAACCCGCACCACUUAUCGUGGUGGGAGACAGUGUCAGGCGGGCAGUUUGACUGGGGCGGUCGCCUCCUAAAAGGUAACGGAGGCGCUCAAAGGUUCCCUCAGAAUGGUUGGAAAUCAUUCAUAGAGUGUAAAGGCAUAAGGGAGCUUGACUGCGAGACCUACAAGUCGAGCAGGGUCGAAAGACGGACUUAGUGAUCCGGUGGUUCCGCAUGGAAGGGCCAUCGCUCAACGGAUAAAAGCUACCCCGGGGAUAACAGGCUUAUCUCCCCCAAGAGUUCACAUCGACGGGGAGGUUUGGCACCUCGAUGUCGGCUCAUCGCAUCCUGGGGCUGUAGUCGGUCCCAAGGGUUGGGCUGUUCGCCCAUUAAAGCGGUACGCGAGCUGGGUUCAGAACGUCGUGAGACAGUU
rnacentral:rRNA from 1 species